AGAUGUCGGGAUUUUUUAAUCUUACUCAACUUUGAAGAAGCCGAGUGGCCUAGAGAUGACCAAAAGGUUUUGCUGGCUUCUUGCAGGGAGCAUGCACGUGUGAGUGUGGCGUGCAUGCAUUAAAAAAAAAAAAAAAACAAGCUUUUCUCUGAAAAGAGCAGAGAAGGGCAGUGUGACCUCAAUGAAAGUGAAUGAUGCAUCUUUCCCCUGCCCACCCCCAGCCCCAUCUCACACGUUAUUUAUUAUAUUGGAGGGUUAGAAUCUGGAGCAUCCUGGAUGCUUUCUUUUCCAUAUGCUCUUACUGCCUACCUUUUGCAGGGUUCACACUGACAAAUCCUUGCUGAUUGGAGUGGGGGUGUGUAGAGGGAUCUCUUCAAUUCAUGCCAGGAGAAGAAUCAUUAGAUUCUGAAUGCAUUUAGAGGAGAGGGGCAGAGAGACAGACACACAGGAUCACAGAAACUCCUCAAAGCUGGUGACGCUCCCAUUUCCCAUGGGAAAGGACAUGAAGUGGCGGCCCCAGCUCCAGCUCAUAGUGACACAAUUGCUUUGUCUUUGCUACCUCCAAAGCACUAGGGCAUUCAUUAACUGUUUUUCUCAAUUCUAGGGUUUGCAAAGCAGUGGCAGAAAAGUAUCAGAAAAGUGCUCAAAGGUCCGCGUCUGCUCCAAUCCGGGAUGGGAAGCCAUCAUGAGGAUGUUGCCUUUCUUCCCUGCAUUUAAAAGGCUUUAUCUGGUUUAAAA
rnacentral:lncRNA from 1 species